rnacentral:rRNA from 1 species
CCUACGGGAGGCUGCAGUGGGGAAUAUUGGACAAUGGGGGCAACCCUGAUCCAGCCAUGCCGCGUGUGUGAAGAAGGCCCUCGGGUUGUAAAGCACUUUCAGUGAGGAAGAACGCCUGGUGGUUAAUACCCAUCAGGAAAGACAUCACUCACAGAAGAAGCACCGGCUAACUCCGUGCCAGCAGCCGCGGUAAUACGGAGGGUGCGAGCGUUAAUCGGAAUUACUGGGCGUAAAGCGCGCGUAGGUGGCUUGAUAAGCCGGUUGUGAAAGCCCCGGGCUCAACCUGGGAACGGCAUCCGGAACUGGCAAGCUAGAGUGCAGGAGAGGAAGGUAGAAUUCCCGGUGUAGAGGUGAAAUGCGUAGAGAUCGGGAGGAAUACCAGUGGCGAAGGCGGCCUUCUGGACUGACACUGACACUGAGGUGCGAAAGCGUGGGUAUCAAACAGGAUUAGAUACCCGAGUAGUC